AACGAACGCUGGCGGCAUGCCUAACACAUGCAAGUCGAACGAACCCUUCGGGGUUAGUGGCGCACGGGUGCGUAACGCGUGGGAAUCUGCCCUUGGCUUCGGAAUAACAGUUAGAAAUGACUGCUAAUACCGGAUGAUGUCUUCGGACCAAAGAUUUAUCGGCCAGGGAUGAGCCCGCGUAGGAUUAGGUAGUUGGUGGGGUAAAGGCCUACCAAGCCGACGAUCCUUAGCUGGUCUGAGAGGAUGAUCAGCCACACUGGGACUGAGACACGGCCCAGACUCCUACGGGAGGCAGCAGUGGGGAAUAUUGAACAAUGGGCGCAAGCCUGAUCCAGCAAUGCCGCGUGAGUGAUGAAGGCCCUCGGGUCGUAAAGCUCUUUUACCCGGGAUGAUAAUGACAGUACCGGGAGAAUAAGCCCCGGCUAACUCCGUGCCAGCCGCCGCAGUAA
rnacentral:rRNA from 1 species